UGGCUAAUUAAGUCAAAUGUGAAAUCCCCGAGCUUAACUUGGGAAUUGCAUUCGAUACUGGUUAGCUAGAGUAUGGGAGAGGAUGGUAGAAUUCCAGGUGUAGCGGUGAAAUGCGUAGAGAUCUGGAGGAAUACCGAUGGCGAAGGCAGCCAUCUGGCCUAAUACUGACACUGAGGUGCGAAAGCAUGGGGAGCAAACAGGAUUAGAUACCCUGGUAGUCCAUGCAGUAAACGAUGUCUACUAGCCGUUGGGGCCUUUGAGGCUUUAGUGGCGCAGCUAACGCGAUAAGUAGACCGCCUGGGGAGUACGGUCGCAAGACUAAAACUCAAAUGAAUUGACGGGGGCCCGCACAAGCGGUGGAGCAUGUGGUUUAAUUCGAUGCAACGCGAAGAACCUUACCUGGCCUUGACAUACAGAGAACUUUCCAGAGAUGGAUUGGUGCCUUCGGGAACUCUGAUACAGGUGCUGCAUGGCUGUCGUCAGCUCGUGUCGUGAGAUGUUGGGUUAAGUCCCGCAACGAGCGCAACCCUUUUCCUUACUUGCCAGCAUUUCGGAUGGGAACUUUAAGGAUACUGCCAGUGACAAACUGGAGGAAGGCGGGGACGACGUCAAGUCAUCAUGGCCCUUACGGCCAGGGCUACACACGUGCUACAAUGGUCGGUACAAAGGGUUGCUACACAGCGAUGUGAUGCUAAUCUCAAAAAGCCGAUCGUAGUCCGGAUUGGAGUCUGCAACUCGACUCCAUGAAGUCGAAAUCGCUAGUAAUCGCGGAUCA
rnacentral:rRNA from 1 species